rnacentral:rRNA from 1 species
AUACAGAGGGUGCAAGCGUUAAUCGGAUUUACUGGGCGUAAAGCGCGCGUAGGUGGCUAAUUAAGUCAACUGUGAAAUCCCCGAGCUUAACUUGGGAAUUGCAUUCGAUACUGGUUAGCUAGAGUAUGGGAGAGGAUGGUAGAAUUCCAGGUGUAGCGGUGAAAUGCGUAGAGAUCUGGAGGAAUACCGAUGGCGAAGGCAGCCAUCUGGCCUAAUACUGACACUGAGGUGCGAAAGCAUGGGGAGCAAACAGGAUUAGAUACCCUGGUAGUCCAUGCCGUAAACGAUGUCUACUAGCCGUUGGGGCCCUUGAGGCUUUAGUGGCGCAGCUAACGCGAUAAGUAGACCGCCUGGGGAGUACGGUCGCAAGACUAAAACUCAAAUGAAUUGACGGGG